GACGGAGGGUGCAAGCGUUGUUCGGAAUUACUGGGCGUAAAGGGCGCGUAGGCGGUCUGUUAAGUUCGGUGUGAAAGCCCCCGGCUCACCUGGGGAACUGCGCCGGAACCGACAGACUCGAGUACCGGGAGAGGAGGGUGGAAUUCCUGGUGUAGCGGUGAAAUGCGUAGAUAUCAGGAGGAACACCGGUGGCGAAGGCGGCCCUCUGGACGGAUGACUGACGC
rnacentral:rRNA from 1 species